UUCUUAUCACGAGAGGCGGAGGGACUGGCCCUACGAUGUCUCGGCAGCGGGCUCAUUGCAAAUGAGUGCUGUGCCAAAUCCAGCAAGAUUACACUUGAAAGAUGAGAA
rnacentral:ncRNA from 2 species